CGGCUCUUCCUAUCAUUGU
rnacentral:snRNA from 1 species